rnacentral:lncRNA from 1 species
UUAAAAUUAUUUUCACUCUAAGAAAUUUUUGAUUAGACGCGUCGUUUUCUAGAUAUUUUCAAAAAGAUACAACCUCGAUUUUGGAAUCUUUUCAUUAAUCGUAGGUGCCUAUGGAAACAAAUUACAGAAGUAUGUAAAUAACUGGAAUCUGAGGUCAGUACGUACACCCCAACUAGAAGAAAACAUUUUGGAUUUUUUGGCAGAUCGUAGUACUGCCAGUACUGUUGAUAGCAACAGUUUAGACAUUUCAGAAUAUGCAAUGUCUUGGCAUGUUCUACACGAAGAGCAAUUGUAUCCAUCCAUUUCUCGAGAGUACAAGACUUUAAAAUUGCUAUGAUGGAAAAAUAUACUAUUGAUGCUGCGUUUUUAGAAAAAAGUACUUUUUACAGACAAUCAUUGUUGUUAAGUUGGGGAGUUUUAUCAAUAUAGUUAUUUUCGGUGUUCGGUGGUUGGCAGUAGUUGGGUUAUAUAUUUUAGACAGACAGAAAGUAAAAAAGCGGUGAAUGGUUUUAUUAGGUUUUAUCGAUUAUAUUUAUUUUGUUAAAGAAGUUUGUGCUUUUUUUUUAAUAAACGUUCUUUUCGUUUGACAAUUGCUGUUUAUUGAACAACCAUUAACUUGAGAAAUGCUGAAGAAUAAUUGCACUGAAGAGAAUCCAAAUUUCUUGCUACGUUGAGCAAUAAUUUGACAGAUUUCUCUCUGUAUAGCAUUGUGCCGUGGUUGCAUAUUUUCAAAAGUGAUCUUAAACAAUUUUUCAUGAUAAAAUUACAGUGUUUACCAAAUUUUGUCUUUCUAAGACAAACCAUAUUGAAAAUACUUAAGAAAAUGUUUAAAAAUGUCUUAAUUUUGAGAGCCCAUAUUUUUUGUCAAUAGUUAGUCAAAGAAUGUUAUAGCAAUACUUGAACCCACAGAGGAUUGAGCGUAAGUUCUCUAUUGCAAAAUCCCCUUUCUUACAACCCUAUAAGCCACCCUGUCGCCGUACACUUCGUAGUAAUCCAACACCAUACCUGCAGCUAACCAAAACUACAAUAAAUAGGCAUAGGCAUCUUAAAAACAUACAAGGCGUUCCAUUUAAAAUUUUCAACUUUCUUGCCACUUAAUAUGGGAAACGGUAAUUCAAUUUUUAGCCACUCUGUAUAAGAUACUCUGAUACAACAAAUGAUAGUCUAUUUGAUAGCAUUUAAAGAGUAAUCGUGCCAAUUUAGAGCUUUCUUGAAUGAACGUUGGCUGAGUAGUAAAGUAAUGCUCCCAUUGUGGCUAGGCCUUUGCCAAUAGUUUGUCAAAGAAUGUUACAGCACUACUUGAACACACAGAGGAUUGAAUGCAAGGUCUUUAUUGCAAAAUCACCUUUGUUGCAACCCCAUAAUUGCAGCUAACCAGUUCUAAUCAUCUAUAGCCGGUUCAUCUACAAGUCUCCUAAGAUAUACAUACUCUAAAAGGACCAUGCUCUUGUAUUAUAUGUAUGUUGGUAGCAUUAGCAACCAACUUCAUGGCAUAUUAUUCUGUAAGUGACACGUACGAUGAUUGUGUAAAAACUAGAUUCUCGUAUAGCUUUUGUUAAUAAAGUAAACUAAAAUUCCA